rnacentral:rRNA from 1 species
AGUUAUGGCCAUGCCACCCUGAAUGUCCCCGAUCUCAUCUGAUCUCGGAAGCUAAGCUGGGUCGGACCUGGUUAGUGCUUGCAUGGGAAACCACCUAGGAAUAUCA